GACGAACGCUGGCGGCGUGCUUAACACAUGCAAGUCGAGCGGUAAGGCCCUUUCGGGGGUACACGAGCGGCGAACGGGUGAGUAACACGUGGGUGACCUGCCCUCAGCUCUGGGAUAAGCCUGGGAAACUGGGUCUAAUACUGGAUAUGACUCCACGGUGCAUGUCGUGGGGUGGAAAGCCUUGUGCGGCUGAGGAUGGGCCCGCGGCCUAUCAGCUUGUUGGUGGGGUGANGGCCUACCAAGGCGACGACGGGUAGCCGGCCUGAGAGGGCGACCGGCCACACUGGGACUGAGACACGGCCCAGACUCCUACGGGAGGCAGCAGUGGGGAAUCUUGCGCAAUGGGCGAAAGUCUGAUCCAGCAAUGCCGCGUGUGUGAAGAAGGCCUGCGGGUUGUAAAGCACUUUCAGU
rnacentral:rRNA from 1 species